AGUCGAACGGCAGCACGGACUUCGGUCUGGUGGCGAGUGGCGAACGGGUGAGUAAUGUAUCGGAACGUGCCUUAGUAGCGGGGGAUAACUACGCGAAAGCGUGGGCUAAUACCGCAUACCCUUCGGGGGAAAGCGGGGACCUUGCCCGCACCGUUGGGAUGGGCCGAUAUCGGAUUAGCUAGUUGGUGGGGUAAAUGGCUCUCACCGAGGCGACGAUCCGUAGCUGGUUUGAGAGGACGACCAGCCACAGUGGGACUGGAGACACGGCUCCAGACUCCUACGGGAGGCAGCAGUGGGAAUUUUGGACAAUGGGGAAACCCUGAUCCAGCCAUCCCGCGUGUGCGAUGAAGGCCUUCGGUUAGCACUUUUGCAGGAAAGAAACGGCACGGAUAAUACCUCCGUGCAACUGACGGUACCUGCAGAAUAAGCACUGCUAACUACGUGCCAGCAGCCGCGGUAAUACGUAGGGUGCAAGCGUUAAUCGGAAUUACUGGGCGUAAAAGCGUGCGCAGGCGGUUCGGAAAGAAAGAUGAAAUCCCAGAGCCUUAACUUUUGAACUGGUUUUAAUUACCGGAGCUAGAGGGGGUCAGGAGGGAGGUGGAAUUGCGUGUAGCAGUGAAAUGCGUAGAUAUGCGGAGGAACACUUACGGCGGUUGCAGCCUCUUCCAGAUAACACUGACGCUCAUGCACGAAAGCGUGGGGAGCAAACAGGAUUAGAUACCCUGUAGUCCACGCCCUAAACGAUGUCAACUAGCUGUUGGGGCCUUCGGGCCUGGUAGCGCAGCUAACGCGUGAAGUUGACCGCCUGGGGAGUACGGUCGCAAGAUUAAAAAAAACGGGGACUCCGCACAAGCGGUGGAUGAUGUGGAUUAAUUCGAUGCAACGCGAAAACCUUACCUACCCUUGACAUGUCUGGAAUCCCGAAGAGAUUUGGGAGGUUUGCAAGAAACGGAACACAGGUGCUGCAUGGCUGUCGUCACUGUGUCGAUGUUGGGUUAAGUCCCGCAACAGCAACUCCUUGUCAUUAGUUGCUACGAAAGGGCACUCUCAUCGAGACUACCGGUGACAAACCGGAGGAAGGUGGGGAUGACGUCAAGUCCUCAUGGCCCCGGCGGUGCAGGCUUCACACGUCAUACAAUGGUCGGGACAGAGGUCGCCAACCCGCGAGGGGGAGGCCGGUCCCAGAAACCCGAUCGUAGUCCGGAUCGCAGUCUGCAACUCCGACUGCGGAAGUUCUGAAUCGCUAGUAAUCGCGGAUCAGCAUGUCGCGGUGAAUACGUCGUUCCCGGGUCUUGUACACACCGCCCGUCACACCAUGGGAGUGGGUUUUACCAGAAGUAGUUAGCCUAACCGUAAGGAGGGCGAUUACCACGGUAGGAUUCAUGACUGGGGUGAAGUCGUAACAAGGUAA
rnacentral:rRNA from 1 species